rnacentral:rRNA from 1 species
GCCGACAGCUAGCUCUCUGCAACUCUCACAUGGUCACCCACUGAAGUUAUGCAGGGCUGCGCCCAGUCAGUACCUGGAUGAGUAACCACAUGGGAAAUCUAGGUUGCUGCCGGAA